rnacentral:rRNA from 1 species
UGUUCCCUACGGGGGCAGCAGUGGGGAAUAUUGCACAAUGGGCGCGAGCCUGAACCAGCCAAGUCGCGUGAGGGAAUAAGGCCCUACGGGUCGUAAACCUCUUUUGCCGGGGAGCAGGGGCGGGGACGUGUCCCGGCCCGGAGAGUACCCGGAGAAAAAGCAUCGGCUAACUCCGUGCCAGCAGCCGCGGUAAUACGGAGGAUGCGAGCGUUAUCCGGAUUUAUUGGGUUUAAAGGGUGCGUAGGCGGGCUUUUAAGUCAGCGGGAAAAAUUCGGGGCUCAACCCCGUCCGGCCGGUGAAACUGG